rnacentral:rRNA from 1 species
GAAGCUGGAAUCGCUAGUAAUCGCGGAUCAGAAUGCCGCGGUGAAUACGUUCCCGGGUCUUGUACACACCGCCCGUCACACCAUGGGAGUCGGAAAUGCCCGAAGUCUGUGACCCAACCAUUAAGGAGGGAGCAGCCGAAGGCAGGUCGGAUGACUGGGGUGAAGUCGUAACAAGGUACC